UACGGAGGGGGCUAGCGUUAUUCGGAAUUACUGGGCGUAAAGCGCACGUAGGCGGAUCAGAAAGUCAGAGGUGAAAUCCCAGGGCUCAACCUUGGAACUGCCUUUGAAACUCCUGAUCUUGAGGUCGAGAGAGGUGAGUGGAAUUCCGAGUGUAGAGGUGAAAUUCAUAGAUAUUCGGAGGAACACCAGUGGCGAAGGCGGCUCACUGGCUCGAUACUGACGCUGAGGUGCGAAAGCGUGGGGAGCAAACAGG
rnacentral:rRNA from 1 species